GAUGAACGCUGGCGGCGUGCCUAAUACAUGCAAGUCGAGCGAACGGACGAGAAGCUUGCUUCUCUGAUGUUAGCGGCGGACGGGUGAGUAACACGUGGAUAACCUACCUAUAAGACUGGGAUAACUUCGGGAAACCGGAGCUAAUACCGGAUAAUAUAUUGAACCGCAUGGUUCAAAAGUGAAAGACGGUCUUGCUGUCACUUAUAGAUGGAUCCGCGCUGCAUUAGCUAGUUGGUAAGGUAACGGCUUACCAAGGCAACGAUGCAUAGCCGACCUGAGAGGGUGAUCGGCCACACUGGAACUGAGACACGGUCCAGACUCCUACGGGAGGCAGCAGUAGGGAAUCUUCCGCAAUGGGCGAAAGCCUGACGGAGCAACGCCGCGUGAGUGAUGAAGGUCUUCGGAUCGUAAAACUCUGUUAUUAGGGAAGAACAAAUGUGUAAGUAACUGUGCACGUCUUGACGGUACCUAAUCAGAAAGCCACGGCUAACUACGUG
rnacentral:rRNA from 1 species